rnacentral:rRNA from 1 species
GGUUAAGCGACUAAGCGUACACGGUGGAUGCCCCCGGCAGUCAGAGGCGAUGAAGGACGUGCUAAUCUGCGAAAAGCGUCGGUAAGGUGAUAUGAACCGUUACAGCCGGCGAUGUCCGAAUGGGGAAACCCAGUGCAAUUCGUUGCACUAUCGUUAACUGAAUACAUAGGUUAACGAGGCGAACCGGGGAACUGAAACAUCUAAGUACCCCGAGGAAAAGAAAUCAACCGAGAUUCCCCCAGUAGCGGCGAGCGAACGGGGAGCAGCCCAGAGUCUGAAUCAGCUUGUGUGUUAGUGGAACGGUCUGGAAAGUCCGACGGUACAGGGUGAUAGUCCCGUACACCAAAAUGCACAGGUUGUGAACUCGAAGAGUAGGGCGGGACACGUGGUAUCCUGUCUGAAUAUGGGGGACCAUCCUCCAAGGCUAAAUACUCCUGACUGACCGAUAGUGAACCAGUACCGUGAGGGAAAGGCGAAAAGAACCCCGGCGAGGGGAGUGAAAAAGAACCUGAAACCGUGUACGUACAAGCAGUGGGAGCACCUUCGGGUGUGACUGCGUACCUUUGUAUAAUGGGUCAGCGACUUAUAUUCUGUAGCAAGGUUAACCGUAUAGGGGAGCCGCAGGGAAACCGAGUCUUAACUGGGCGUUAAGUUGCAGGGUAUAGACCCGAAACCCGGUGAUCUAGCCAUGGGCAGGUUGAAGGUUGGGUAACACUAACUGGAGGACCGAACCGACUAAUGUUGAAAAAUUAGCGGAUGACUUGUGGCUGGGGGUGAAAGGCCAAUCAAACCGGGAGAUAGCUGGUUCUCCCCGAAAGCUAUUUAGGUAGCGCCUCGUGAACUCAUCUUCGGGGGUAGAGCACUGUUUCGGCUAGGGGGUCAUCCCGACUUACCAACCCGAUGCAAACUACGAAUACCGAAGAAUGUUAUCACGGGAGACACACGGCGGGUGCUAACGUCCGUCGUGAAGAGGGAAACAACCCAGACCGCCAGCUAAGGUCCCAAAGUCAUGGUUAAGUGGGAAACGAUGUGGGAAGGCACAGACAGCCGGAUGUUGGCUUAGAAGCAGCCAUCAUUUAAAGAAAGCGUAAUAGCUCACUGGUCGAGUCGGCCUGCGCGGAAGAUGUAACGGGGCUAAACCAUGCACCGAAGCUGCGGCAGCGACACUAUGUGUUGUUGGGUAGGGGAGCGUUCUGUAAGCCUGCGAAGGUGUGCUGUGAGGCAUGCUGGAGGUAUCAGAAGUGCGAAUGCUGACAUAAGUAACGAUAAAGCGGGUGAAAAGCCCGCUCGCCGGAAGACCAAGGGUUCCUGUCCAACGUUAAUCGGGGCAGGGUGAGUCGACCCCUAAGGCGAGGCCGAAAGGCGUAGUCGAUGGGAAACAGGUUAAUAUUCCUGUACUUGGUGUUACUGCGAAGGGGGGACGGAGAAGGCUAUGUUAGCCGGGCGACGGUUGUCCCGGUUUAAGCAUGUAGGCUGGUUAUCCAGUGCAAAUCCGGAUAAUCAAGGCUGAGGUGUGAUGACGAGGCACUACGGUGCUGAAGUAACAAAUGCCCUGCUUCCGAGGAAAAGCCUCUAAGCAUCAGGUAACAUCAAAUCGUACCCCAAACCGACACAGGUGGUCAGGUAGAGAAUACCAAGGCGCUUGAGAGAACUCGGGUGAAGGAACUAGGCAAAAUGGUGCCGUAACUUCGGGAGAAGGCACGCUGGUGUGUAGGUGAAGUCCCUGCGGAUGGAGCUGAGACCAGUCGAAGAUACCAGCUGGCUGCAACUGUUUAUUAAAAACACAGCACUGUGCAAACACGAAAGUGGACGUAUACGGUGUGACGCCUGCCCGGUGCCGGAAGGUUAAUUGAUGGGGUUAUCCGUAAGGAGAAGCUCUUGAUCGAAGCCCCGGUAAACGGCGGCCGUAACUAUAACGGUCCUAAGGUAGCGAAAUUCCUUGUCGGGUAAGUUCCGACCUGCACGAAUGGCGUAAUGAUGGCCGGGGCUGUCUCCACCCGAGACUCAGUGAAAUUGAACUCGCUGUGAAGAUGCAGUGUACCCGCGGCAAGACGGAAAGACCCCGUGAACCUUUACUAUAGCUUGACACUGAACAUUGAGCCUUGAUGUGUAGGAUAGGUGGGAGGCUUUGAAGCGUGGACGCCAGUCUGCGUGGAGCCAACCUUGAAAUACCACCCUUUAAUGUUUGAUGUUCUAACGUUGGCCCCUGACCGGGGUUGCGGACAGUGUCUGGUGGGUAGUUUGACUGGGGCGGUCUCCUCCCAAAGCGUAACGGAGGAGCACGAAGGUUAGCUAAUCCCCGGUCGGACAUCAGGAGGUUAGUGCAAUGGCAUAAGCUAGCUUGACUGCGAGCGUGACGGCGCGAGCAGGUGCGAAAGCAGGUCAUAGUGAUCCGGUGGUUCUGAAUGGAAGGGCCAUCGCUCAACGGAUAAAAGGUACUCCGGGGAUAACAGGCUGAUACCGCCCAAGAGUUCAUAUCGACGGCGGUGUUUGGCACCUCGAUGUCGGCUCAUCACAUCCCCGGGGCUGAAGUAGGUCCCAAGGGUAUGGCUGUUCGCCAUUUAAAGUGGUACGCGAGCUGGGUUUAGAACGUCGUGAGACAGUUCGGUCCCUAUCUGCCGUGGGCGCUGGAGAAUUGAGGGGGCUGCUCCUAGUACGAGAGGACCGGAGUGGACGCAUCACUGGUGUUCGGGUUGUCAUGCCAAUGGCACUGCCCGGUAGCUAAAUGCGGAAGAGAUAAGUGCUGAAAGCAUCUAAGCACGAAACUUGCCCCGAGAUGAGUUCUCCCUGAGACUAUAAGUCUCCUGAAGGAACGUUAAAGACGAUGACGUUGAUAGGCCGGGUGUGUAAGCGCAGCGAUGCGUUGAGCUAACCGGUACUAAUGAACCGUGAGGCUUAACCUU